rnacentral:rRNA from 1 species
UACGAAGGGGGCUAGCGUUGUUCGGAAUUACUGGGCGUAAAGCGCACGUAGGCGGAUAUUUAAGUCAGGGGUGAAAUCCCAGAGCUCAACUCUGGAACUGCCUUUGAUACUGGGUAUCUUGAGUAUGGAAGAGGUAAGUGGAACUCCUAGUGUAGAGGUGAAAUUCGUAGAUAUUCGGAGGAACACCAGUGGCGAAGGCGGCUCACUGGUCCAUUACUGACGCUGAGGUGCGAAAGCGUGGGGAGCAAACAGGAUUGAG